CCUACGGGAGGCAGCAGUGGGGAAUAUUGGACAAUGGGGGGAACCCUGAUCCAGCGACGCCGCGUGAGUGAAGAAGUAUUUCGGUAUGUAAAGCUCUAUCAGCAGGGAAGAAAGAAAUGACGGUACCUGAAUAAGAAGCCCCGGCUAACUACGUGCCAGCAGCCGCGGUAAUACGUAGGGGGCAAGCGUUAUCCGGAUUUACUGGGGGUAAAGGGAGCGUAGACGGGGAUGCAAGUCUGAAGUGAAAGGCGGGGGCCCAACCCCCGGACUGCUUUGGAAACUGUAUGGCUGGAGUGCAGGAGAGGUGAGUGGAAUUCCUAGUGUAGCGGUGAAAUGCGUAGAUAUUAGGAGGAACACCAGUGGCGAAGGCGGCUUACUGGCCUGUAACUGACGUUGAGGCUCGAAAGCGUGGGGAGCAAACAGGAUUAGAUACCCGAGUAGUC
rnacentral:rRNA from 1 species